rnacentral:ncRNA from 2 species
CUCUUAUUCAGAGUCGGUGGAGGGACGGACCCUAUGAAACCCAGCAACCAUCACAUAAGGUGAAAAGGUGCUAACCUGAUGCAAGGAUAUUUCCUUGAACAAUAAGAG